rnacentral:sRNA from 1 species
CCAUGAUAAGCCGAAAGCCAGUUAUUAGUAAAGAAACACAGAAUCUCUCUCUCUUGACAGCAAAAACAAAUUACUAAUACAAUAUAUUGUAGUUGACAAGAAGAAAAUCUUUCUGCUGCAGAUACGCUUUCAUUAAAAAACAACACAAGGAGACCUAGCCAUAGUUUGUCUCCUAAAUAAGCCAGUUUUGAACAAUGUUAAACUUAAAUAAAUAAGCUCCAUAAUUCAGAAGAAAGAGCCACGAGACAGAAAAACAAAUCAACAAUUCAAAAAGUUAUAUUUAGAAAAUAUUGUUUUUGAACG